rnacentral:misc_RNA from 1 species
UCCGGCUUAUCACCGGCGGUUUCCUUAGAGUGCCCAACUUAAUGAUGGCAACUAAGGACGAGGGUUGCGCUCGUUGCGGGACUUAACCCAACAUCUCACGACACGAGCUGACGUCAGCCAUGCAGCACCUGUCACUAGGUCCCCGAAGGGAAGGAGUCUGUCUCCAGAAACCGUCCUAGGAUGUCAAAGGCUGGUAAGGUUCUGCGCGUUGCUUCGAAUUAAACCACAUGCUCCACCGCUUGUGCAGGCCCCCGUCAAUUCCUUUGAGUUUUAACCUUGCGGCCGUACUCCCCAGGCGGGGCGCUUAAUGCGUUAGCUGCGGCACGGAACCCAUGGAAUAGGCCCCACACCUAGUGCCCAACGUUUACGGCAUGGACUAC